rnacentral:rRNA from 1 species
AGAACGAACGCUGGCGGCAGGCCUAACACAUGCAAGUCGAACGCUCUUUUCGGAGAGAGUGGCGCACGGGUGAGUAACGCGUGGGAAUCUGCCCUUUGGUUCGGAAUAACCCUGGGAAACUAGGGCUAACACCGGAUAAGCCCCGAGAGGGGGAAAGUUUACGCCGAAGGAGGAGCCCGCGUCCGAUUAGCUAGUUGGUGAGGUAAGAGCUCACCAAGGCUUCGAUCGGUAGCUGGUCUGAGAGGACGAUCAGCCACACUGGGACUGAGACACGGCCCAGACUCCUACGGGAGCAGCAGUGGGGAAUAUUGGACAAUGGGCNCAAGCCUGAUCCAGCCAUGCC